UUAGGAAUUUUGGGCAAUGGGCGCAAGCCUGACCCAGCAACGCCGCGUGGGUGACGAAGGCCUUCGGGUUGUAAAGCCCUUUUCGAGGGGAAGAUGAUGACGGUACCCUACGAAGAAGCACCGGCUAACUACGUGCCAGCAGCCGCGGUAAUACGUAGGGUGCAAGCGUUGCCCGGAUUUAUUGGGCGUAAAGGGCGCGUAGGCGGCUCGGCACGUCCGUUGUGAAAUCGCCCGGCUCAACUGGGCGGGGUCAGCGGAUACGGCCGAGCUUGAGCAAGCUAGGGGGCAAUGGAAUUCCCGGUGUAGUGGUGGAAUGCGUAGAUAUCGGGAGGAACACCAGUGGCGAAGGCGGUUGCCUGGGGCUUUGCUGACGCUGAUGCGCGAAAGCGUGGGGAGCGAUCCGGAUUAGAUACCCCCGUAGUCC
rnacentral:rRNA from 1 species